rnacentral:rRNA from 1 species
UACGGGGGGUGCGAGCGUUGUCCGGAAUCACUGGGCGUAAAGGGCGCGUAGGUGGCGUGAUAAGGGUGUGGUGAAAGCCCGGGGCUCAACCCCGGGUCUGCCAUGCCGACUGUCAGGCUAGAGUACUGUAGGGGCAGGCGGAAUUCCGGGUGUAGCGGUGGAAUGCGUAGAGAUCGGCAGGAACACCCAGGGGGAAACCAGUCGACUGGGCAUCUACUGACGCUGAGGUGCGAGAGCGUGGGGAGCGAACCGG